rnacentral:rRNA from 1 species
AUUGAACGCUGGCGGCAUGCCUUACACAUGCAAGUCGAACGGCAGCGCGGGAGCAAUCCUGGCGGCGAGUGGCGAACGGGUGAGUAAUAUAUCGGAACGUGCCCAGUAGUGGGGGAUAGCCCGGCGAAAGCCGGAUUAAUACCGCAUACGACCUGAGGGUGAACGGGGGGGAUCGCAAGACCUCUCGCUAUUGGAGCGGCCGAUAUCAGAUUAGGUAGUUGGUGGGGUAAAGGCCUACCAAGCCUGCGAUCUGUAGUUGGUCUGAGAGGACGACAGGCCACACUGGGACUGAGACACGGACCAGACUCCUACGGGAGGCAGCAGUGGGGAAUUUUGGACAAUGGGCGCAAGCCUGAUCCAGCAAUGCCGCGUGCAGGAAGAAGGCCUUCGGGUUGUAAACUGCUUUUGUCAGGGAAGAAAUCCUCUAGGCUUAUACCUUGGGAGGAUGACGGUACCUGAAGAAUAAGCACCGGCUAACUACGUGCCAGCAGCCGCCGCAG